rnacentral:rRNA from 1 species
AUGCCAGUGCUGCAAGAAGGCAAGAAAUUUGAAGAACAAGUUAGAAAAACGCCGCGGGAACACCCGCUCAAUCACCAUCUUAUUGCGAGUAGUCCAAAGAGUCCACAUCAUAGCCGCAAAGAUGAGCCAGAACAGUCGGCGUUUACGGCCAACCUGAGUGGCCCUUACCUACAGAAACUCUGCAAGGUCAUGGGCCUCCCAUUCCGGUUCCAGAGCUUCACGAACAAAACACCAAAGUGCUUGUGCUGCUAUGCACGAGAACAAAAUGUGCGUUCCAGUUUCCGGGACGAGGCAAAGGGGGCAAAGGCCAUUGCCCGGACCAUGGCGUUUCAACACCUCGGUCCCCGAAGGCAAACGAUCUCUGAGAAGCUGCCACACGAAAAUCUUGAUCUUCAGGGGCAUCAGCGCCUUCCACAAUGGGGAUAA